AUCCGGCUGACGAGUCCCGAAUAAGACGAAGUGCUCAUCCUGGAU
rfam:Trichobilharzia regenti genome assembly, scaffold: TRE_contig0030045